rnacentral:rRNA from 1 species
UACGUAGGGGGCAAGCGUUGUCCGGAAUCAUUGGGCGUAAAGAGCGCGUAGGCGGCCCAGUAAGUCCGCUCUGAAAGUCCAGGGCUCAACCCUGGGAUGCCGGUGGAUACUGUCGGGCUCGAGUCCGGAAGAGGCGAGUGGAAUUCCUGGUGUAGCGGUGAAAUGCGCAGAUAUCAGGAGGAACACCAAUGGCGAAGGCAGCUCGCUGGGACGUGACUGACGCUGAGACGCGAAAGCGUGGGGAGCAAACAGG